rnacentral:lncRNA from 1 species
CGGAGUACGCCGGGCGCCGCCUGCACGACCGUUGAGACCAGCCACAACGCGUCCACGCCGACCAGCUGCGCCACGCUCGACGCCUGCCCGAGCGAACACCACAGGCCGCUCCUCGCCGGGAAGCAGCGCAUUCGCUCUCCGCCGCCGAUCUGGCCCCCGCUUCCCGCGUACGGGCCGGAGCUCCAGCCCCCACUCCACCCCGAGACCACGCCGCCGUCCCGUCGCUCCGCCUCAUGGGUCAUGGCCAGGUCGCCGCCGCUCCGCUGGAGGCCGAGAAAGCAAGCAAGGAAAAUAUCAAGUGAGGAAAAGAGCAAAGCAGACAAAAGAAACAGAUCGAUCAAUGCGAUGCUAUCUCUCUCUAUUCUUCUACUCCUGCUUGAGCUGUCGCGGAGCAAGAAGCGCCAGCACGGUGGUGUGGUCCUCGGGACCGCCGCGGCCGCCACCCACCUCACCUUCGUCGCCGCGGCUGCCGCCCACCUCGCCGCCCACGACGCGGAGAGGGGACAAGGAGCAGCGGCUGGGAGGUGGUAGGGGUGAUGGA